GGAAACAGAUGCUAAUACCAGAUAAAAGCUACUUUCGCAUGAAAGAAGUUUAAAAGGCGGCGUAAGCUGUCGCUAAAGGGAUGGACCUGCGAUGCAUUAGCUAGUUGGUAAGGUAACGGCUUACCAAGGCGAUGAUGCAUAGCCCGAGUUGAGAGACUGAUCGGCCACAUUGGGACUGAGACACGGCCCAAACUCCUACGGGAGGCAGCAGUAGGGAAUCUUCCACAAUGGACGAAAGUCUGAUGGAGCAACGCCGCGUGAGUGAAGAAGGUUUUCGGAUCGUAAAGCUCUGUUGUUGGUGAAGAAGGAUAGAGGUAGUAACUGGGCCUUUAUUUGACGGUAAUCAACCAGAAAGUCACGGCUAACUACGUGCCAGCAGCCGCGGUAAU
rnacentral:rRNA from 1 species